rnacentral:rRNA from 1 species
UACGAAGGGGGCUAGCGUUGUUCGGAAUUACUGGGCGUAAAGCGCACGUAGGCGGGUUGUUAAGUCAGGGGGUGAAAUCCUGGAGCUCAACUCCAGAACUGCCUUUGAUACUGGCAACCUAGAGACUGGAAGAGGUUAGUGGAAUUCCCAGUGUAGAGGUGAAAUUCGUAGAUAUUGGGAAGAACACCAGUGGCGAAGGGACGGCCUGA